rnacentral:rRNA from 4 species
CGCGGCAAGACGGAAAGACCCCGUGAACCUUUACUAUAGCUUGACACUGAACAUUGAGCCUUGAUGUGUAGGAUAGGUGGGAGGCUUUGAAGCGUGGACGCCAGUCUGCGUGGAGCCGACCUUGAAAUACCACCCUUUAAUGUUUGAUGUUCUAACGUGGACCCGUGAUCCGGGUUGCGGACAGUGUCUGGUGGGUAGUUUGACUGGGGCGGUCUCCUCCUAAAGAGUAACGGAGGAGCACGAAGGUUGGCUAAUCCUGGUCGGACAUCAGGAGGUUAGUGCAAUGGCAUAAGCCAGCUUGACUGCGAGCGUGACGGCGCGAGCAGGUGCGAAAGCAGGUCAUAGUGAUCCGGUGGUUCUGAAUGGAAGGGCCAUCGCUCAACGGAUAAAAGGUACUCCGGGGAUAACAGGCUGAUACCGCCCAAGAGUUCAUAUCGACGGCGGUGUUUGGCACCUCGAUGUCGGCUCAUCACAUCCUGGGGCUGAAGUAGGUCCCAAGGGUAUGGCUGUUCGCCAUUUAAAGUGGUACGCGAGCUGGGUUUAGAACGUCGUGAGACAGUUCGGUCCCUAUCUGCCGUGGGCGCUGGAGAACUGAGGGGGGCUGCUCCUAGUACGAGAGGACCGGAGUGGACGCAUCACUGGUGUUCGGGUUGUCAUGCCAAUGGCACUGCCCGGUAGCUAAAUGCGGAAGAGAUAAGUGCUGAAAGCAUCUAAGCACGAAACUUGCCCCGA